rnacentral:rRNA from 1 species
UACAGAAGUCUCAAGCGUUGUUCGGAUUCAUUGGGCGUAAAGGGUGCGUAGGUGGUGAGGUAAGUCGGAUGUGAAAGCUCGGAGCUCAACUCCGAAAUGGCAUUGGAAACUACCUUGCUCGAGGGUUGGAGGGGGGACUGGAAUACUUGGUGUAGCAGUGAAAUGCGUAGAUAUCAAGUGGAACACCAGUGGCGAAGGCGAGUCCCUGGACAACUCCUGACACUGAGGCACGAAAGCUAGGGGAGCAAACAGG